CCUGGCGCCCCGCCAGACACGAGAGAAGCGGAGAGCCUGGGAGGUCUGAUCCACCGUUUGUUUCCUGGGGAAGGAAGGGUGCAGAUGACAGCGACAGGCAGGCGGGCGGGAGCCACUCUCGCCGGAGCCCCCCACAUCCUGAGCUCCGAACGGGAGGGGCUAGCCACUGGGCACCUAGCGCCGGCCCUGCCAGGGUUUGUUCGCAGACUUAGUAGUCUUCAGGCCCAGAGUUCCUCAAACAGAAUUCUGCACAGGCCCUGUGGUUCUCCACUAGAAUUAUUUUAGAACGGAACUGGAAAAAAAAAAAAAAUCUAUUACAAAGUUUGUGCUUCUGAGCCCGGCGUGACUACAUUUCACUUCUGUUCCAGUCGAGUGAACGGUGGGAGAAUUGAAUCAUCAACCCCACAUGGUUGCUCAGGAAGGAGGUGUUCCGUGACAAUCAGCAGAAUAGAUCCUUUACAAAAGCACAAACUGCUCCACUGUUGUCUUGGGUGAACUCACUUGUAAUAGUUCUUUAGUGGAAACUGUGACAGUAAUUCAAGUGGCUCAAAUGAUAGCUCGUCAUGAUCAAAAUCAAAAGACGAGGACACAGAAAAUGGAACAUGUGAAAACAUCACUCCGCUACUAUUAAACUCAAUGCAAGAGGUCUAACCAAAGUGCUCUGAAUCCAGAAGGCCUUCCUCAUUCUUUUAACAAAUACUUACUGGGACCUCGGUAUCUGUCAGCCCCUGAUCUUCAAGCUGAGGAUAUCAAGUUUAAUUUGCAGGCUGCAUUAACAGAACGGAAGAGGAUAAAGGAACAGUGCUUUCCUCCCCUACUGAGGCAAGGAAGUGGGGAGAGGGAGGGAGAGAAGGAAGGAAGAAAAGGUUUUCUGACUUGGGACUGGCAUCAGAUAAUUGCUUUCCUUCCAGUUGGACAAUAAAUAAGAUGGGAGGAAUUGACAAGCCCAGGAGACUGGAGGCUGACUUGGCUCCGUAAAGGCCCAUCAACUUCUCCAUCCUUUAUUGAACCAAGGAAAUGCUAUUAAAAUCAUCAUCUCCAGGCAAGGAAAUAUCCUUUUUACUUGGUUUGGUACUUGGAAGUCAUUUGUUUUCUAAUGAUGCUAAAUUCCACCUCUGGCAUUUACAUAUAUCUAAUUUCAAAAGGCAGAAACAGGGAGAAGGCCAAGUUUUUUAAGGCUCUUGGGUUCAUUUUUGAAACCUGUCAGUGCUUCCAGGGCCAAAGAAUUCUACCAGUUGAAAUAAAAUUUUAUAUUCGCAACCAAAACUAAUAAAGCUACAUUCCACCGUGUUAAAAGUG